UUCUCCUGAUUGCUCAGGUUUAUGCCUGAACAAAAGUACCUGGGUUGUCGGGAAUGAUCCCAGCGCUCACUCCAGGUUGCUUAGGCAAUGAUCUUUCAGGCACCCAGAGAACCAGACCUCCCAGCGUGGAGGGCCUGUGGCUGAGCUCAGCUGCCCUUGCUCACAUGAACUCAAGGGCUCCAGGUCCUAGGAGCUGGGGUCCCCAGACAGCUCUGUUCUGAACACCAGAAGUCCAAGACCAGGGUGCCAGCAGUGCUGAUGUCUGGAAAGACCUGGGAACCGAAGGAGCCAUCUGCGCAGGAUGGGGUCCGGGGCAGAAGAAGGGCGUGUUCUCCUCCCACCCAUGCUACCCUGCGUCUCUUCCAGGACGGCCACAGGCCAGGGCCAAUUUCUUGCAUUCACGACACAGCAAACAGUGCAAGGUCUUCGGGUGUUACAGCAGAUGGGAAGAGGAGGGAGAUGAUCCUAUGACAUCAGAGAGAGGCAGAGCCAGGACAAGAGCUUCUGACUCUGGCCUCCUCACACCCAGGGUCCCAUGUCCUGUGGCCUUGCCUGCUCCAGGUGCGCUGUGGCCAGUGCUGUGGGGGUCGCAGCAGCCCAGCCUGGGCCUGGUGUUCCUUGAGAAUUCUCCACUAGUCCUGGCCUACGAUUGUGGCUUGGAGAAAGCCCUGCUGUCAUCCUUGACGCUGCCCUCUAGUACCUGCUGUUCAAACUCAGGUCUGAGGACCAGCAGCAGCUGCUUCCCCUAGGAACUCAGCAGAAAUGCUGAAUCUCAGGCCCCACCCAAGACAUACUGAAUCAGACUCUGCACUUCACCAAGAUUCCCAGUGUUCAGUAAGCCACAUGCUCCGUGAUGCAGCUGAGAGAUAACAGAGCCUCUUUCAACCCAUCCCUGAGUGACUGAGUGCAAUGGAGCCCCCUGCCAAUCAGUCUUGGAUGUAAAACAUGAGGUCAG